AUAGUGUAGUUUUGACCCGUUAUCGGAAAAGACUGGGUUAACUCCUUUUUCAUGUAAAGUCCUUGUACCCCUUAUUGUGUACACAGCAUGUACGUCAAAGCAGAGGUGAAAAUUAGUAAUGUAAGCAUGUAAAAUUUACACAUUAUUUUGGAAGCCCGCUCUGCGAUGUCAGCCCUUUGAUGUUAGCCCUUAAAGUGUCAGAAGGAUGGAAAGAAAAUAAUAAAAACAAAUCAGUUUGUUUUGAAUUUCUGUAUUCGGCAAGGUAUAAUUUUCAUGCUCCUGUUACAGAAUAGGAAAAUAUUCAAUCAACUCAAUGAACUGAACUGAUCUUUCAGCAUUAACCGAUUCAUUGAAUCGUCGAACGAGAUCGGUUACGGCAGAAAGAGUUGUAUAUUCUGAAUGACAAGUUAAAAAACUACCCUUUAUUUAGUAAGCCAGCUUUUCUAAAUAAUGUGUAAAAUUGACUUGAGGAAACGACACUUUUUUUGACAGAUCUCGGCUGUUCGCAAUAAUGGGUCAAUUUUACAAGUUUAAGGUGUUGCGCCAAAUGAGUGUGUAGUAAAAUUACAAUCCAAACCAAAACGAACAAUGGUAAACUUCUCGUUUUUUUACACAUUCUCAAAUGAUCGUGUAUAGAGAUUUAUUUUAAAGAGCAGCCAUUUUGAAAAACAAUUUUAUCGCGGGCAAUUUGUUUUGGUUACCAGCAGCGAUUGCAAAAUAUCUUGAAUGAUGCUGUUCCACGGCUCCUUUCACAUGCAGGCUUUUGAAAAAGCUCCCGAUAAAGUUCCCACUGGAGACGGCAGGACGAGAAGGACAAUCUUGCGAAUCUUGUUUUGCUGGCGAAUACAGAGCUGAUGGAUGCAGCAUGAAAAGAUUAACCGAAUUUGGGAUCACGCACCGCUUGCAGCUAGUUGGAGCUGUGUUAAAAACACAUCGAAUGGAAUCAAGGUACAGGAAUUUAUAGAAUUGUGAAAGUUAUUAAAAAGUGAAAAGUGCGGAAAAUACGUUAAAGUAAAAGUUGUGAAAAUGAAAAUGAUUAACAAUAUUAAGAUAAUGUUGUUUUUUUAAUUUCUUUUUUUUGAACAAGGUGACUGAUCGCAAUAAUUGAAUCAAAAUUUAACAUUUUGCCAAAGUUAUUCCUUGUUUUAAGGGAUAUUAUUCCUGAUUUAUCGUGCUUUGUUAUAAAUGUACCAGUACCAAACACGACUAAUCAUGAAUAAAAUUCCUUGAAACGAGUAAUAAAUU